GCGCGUACCGGAUUCUCCAGCAGGCUCUCCAUGCCGCCCGCCGCCGCCUGCGCCCUGGCAGCGCCUCGGCAGGCGGCGGAGAGCGCGAGGGCGCGCAGGAGCCGAGCAGCCCCAGCGGUCGGCUCGCCUCCCUCUCAGGCGGGCCCGGCCUCCCUCCCCUGCCUGCUGCCGGUGCCGCGUCACCGCCACACAGACAUUCACACACGCACCAAGGGGCGGGACCGCGGCGCCAGGUCCCACCCACCCUCCCACAUCUCGGCUUGUGAGGAGGCUCUGCUUCCCGCAGGGCAGAGAGGAGAGAAGAGAGGCGAGUGAGAGAAUGUGCGUGUGACCCCAGGGGUCGGAGCAGGGGUGAGGAAACGGAACAAAUGAAGGGGAUAGAGAUGGAUGAGGCCAUGAGGACAGAAAGGAUUUCAACAGGUUGGCAGAGCAGGGAAACAGAAGAUGAGGAAGAUAUGCCAGGUAGCAGAAGAACACCAACGAAUGAAAAUAGACCCUUGGUUUCAUCUAAUUUGGCAGGGUGGCCCAUCAGAUUCCCUGUCCAACUGGUGUUCCCCCAGGAUAAGUAUAUUUAUGGAUAUCACAUACCCAGUGAACUGCAUCAGCCAAGCCCACCUGGUGAAUGAUCUUCAAAUAUUGUUCUGUAAAGAAUGAAUGAUUCAAGUGUAUCCACAGCUGAGGCAACAGUUGGAGAUCAGAGUACCCAAGAGGAUAUUCCGACUAAAGAAUGAAGUUUGGAGAUGGAACAAGGCACAAGAAACACUUUUCUUCUGACUUUUCUUUGCUUGCCUAGUUGAUUGGUUGUCCAAGAAUUGGGUGCUUGGAAAGACCAUACUAUUUUUAUAAGUGGAGCAUAAUUAUUGAUGGGGCUUGUUUAAAAUGCAGAUAGCUGAGCCCCAUAUCAAUUCUGCUGUAUUGGAAUCACUAGGAAUGGGACCCAAAUGUUUUUGUUUUUUAAAAUUUUAUCUUUUAUUUUAAAAAAUCAACUUUAUUGAGGCAUAAUCUAUACACACUAAUAUGCUUUCAUUUUGAGCACACAG